rnacentral:rRNA from 1 species
UACGUAGGGGGCAAGCGUUGUCCGGAAUCAUUGGGCGUAAAGCGCGUGUAGGCGGCUCGGUAAGUCCGCUCUGAAAGCCCGGGGCUCAACCCCGGGAGGCGGGUGGAUACUGCUGAGCUCGAGUCCGGAAGAGGAGUGUGGAAUUCCUGGUGUAGCGGUGAAAUGCGCAGAUAUCAGGAGGAACACCAAUGGCGAAGGCAGCACUCUGGGACG